UUUAUUGACUUGGCCACCUGCCACAAAUGUCUGGGCACGCCUAUGAUCACAGCCAAAGUAUUUUAUUCAUCAGCAACCAAUACAAACUGUAUGUUCCAUAUUAAAUAGUUAUUAUUAUUUAAUCCACUGAGGGUAAUUUUCUUAUAUUUCAAAAAAGUUUAGAAAUUGUUCAACAUUCACGAUCUGUUACCCAUACUUCUACAACACAGCCUAAUGGUGAUAUUCUACAUAUGUAGGCAUUUAUGACUCAAGCUGCAUACUUACUGUUCAAUAUAUGAUUGUGGAAUGGGCAAUGGACAAUUAAUUGUACAACAGACCCAGGAAAACCUACUCAACUAUAAAUUAUGAUAACUCAACUAAAACAGUUCUGAUAUCUUCAACUCCAAAUCAUACGGAAUCUGCAGUCACAAGUUAUUUAGCCAUCUACGCAACUGUUGUUACUCUCACAACAUAUACUAUAAUGAUGAAAAUGAGCCCAUGCAUGCAGCGUUGCUGUUACUAACAGAAGUGUUUGAAGUAGACGAAUAACCUCAAUUGCUUCGAGAACAAUUUGUCAUGUUACUAUAUCAUAUUAUUAGAGAUUAGCUUAGUCAUGUAGUAUAAACUUGUUUUUUUAUUUUUAGUAAAUUUUUUAUUUUUGUUAAAUUUGUAUAAGAAAAACAAUUCUGAACGAAGAAGGUCAGUCAGCCUAUGA
rnacentral:lncRNA from 1 species